rnacentral:rRNA from 1 species
ACGGGUGAGUAAUAUAUCGGAACGUGCCCAGUAGUGGGGGAUAGCCCGGCGAAAGCCGGAUUAAUACCGCAUACGACCUACGGGUGAAAGCGGGGGAUCGCAAGACCUCGCGCUAUUGGAGCGGCCGAUAUCAGAUUAGGUAGUUGGUGGGGUAAAAGCCUACCAAGCCGACGAUCUGUAGCUGGUCUGAGAGGACGACCAGCCACACUGGGACUGAGACACGGCCCAGACUCCUACGGGAGGCAGCAGUGGGGAAUUUUGGACAAUGGGCGCAAGCCUGAUCCAGCCAUGCCGCGUGCGGGAAGAAGGCCUUCGGGUUGUAAACCGCUUUUGUCAGGGAAGAAAUCCUCUGAGUUAAUACCUCGGGGGGAUGACGGUACCUGAAGAAUAAGCACCGGCUAACUACGUGCCAGCAGCCGCGGUAAUACGUAGGGUGCAAGCGUUAAUCGGAAUUACUGGGCGUAAAGCGUGCGCAGGCGGUUGUGCAAGACAGGUGUGAAAUCCCCGGGCUUAACCUGGGAACUGCACUUGUGACUGCACAGCUGGAGUGCGGCAGAGGGGGAUGGAAUUCCGCGUGUAGCAGUGAA